CUUUAAUCUAUUUCCUCUAUUUCUCUUUUUUGGAGUGAGUGUUGGGAGUGAACGUGGUGGUGUGAGUUUUCCAAUCCUCUUUUUUUUCUUAAGGUGGUGAUUUAUUUGUGUGUUUGGAGUCGGCAUGGCCGGUCAGCAUGGCAGCAGGAGGAUUUGCUGUAGGACAUGUGAUUCGCUCAUGCCCGGAGAGAGCAGGUGAGAGCCGGCCAGCUGCUCACGCAGAGGAUCCGCCGCCCGUUAAAGCCGAAAGCGGAGGCUCGGUACCGGACGGACCGCAGGGAAGCAUGCAGGCCUCGCAGGAGGAAACCCGAGACAAUAGCUAUCUUCGAGGGUGAACAAAACGAACAAGAUGGUGUAACGGAGGAAGUGUUGCCUAAUGAGACAGACAACUGCCAGGAAAGAUCACACAUUCAUGUCUGUGUUACCAGAGGUCAUAAAUUUACACAAAGACUGUCAGCCAGUGGGGACAUGGGAUGUCAAAGCAUAGACAAAAGCUUAUUUAUGUAUCAACAGUUCUGCGUAAGUAUCCUCGUUGGCAAACCAUUUUCUGAAAAUUUGUUUAUAGUUGAAACAAAACGCACGAUUCUUU
ensembl:lncRNA